UGUAAUAAAAAGAAUAACAAAAUGGCAAGUGUAGGUGAAAUAAAAUAGAAAAAUUACUGAUGUACCAAAAAAUUGUCAUGUUUUGGACUGGAAAAUUGGUACUCAAAUAAAAAAUAUGCAAGUUGCAGACGAAUUUCAUACAUAUCCAUAUCUAAGACUUUUAUUAAGAAGUAUAUAUAAUUAUGCUGGAUUUGUACCAUCAAAUCCUAUUAUCACACUGUUUUGAAGUCGCUGACAAAUAUGGCAGGGGAGUACCCAAGAUCUGUACUGAUAGCCCUUGUUAUUUUCUCUCUGGUUGUGUCUCCCAUGUUACCUUGUGUUACGGCUCGUCCUCCUGUUGUAUGUCCUGCUUGUGUAUGUUGCGGGCCUCCACCACCAGGCGGAGCCUGCUGUAGCUGCGGAUGCGCUUCGGUUCAAUCUCCACCCUCCGAAAUGGCAACUCCUUGAGAUAGAUUACUGGAUUUUAGUUGCUUCAGGGAUCCAUUUAGUAGCUACAUAAAUGAUCCUUUAUUUUCUUUUCUUUUUCUGUGUGUUUUUCUGAAAUAAAUAAUGGUAUCCUUGAAUUGAAUAUGCUUAUAAGCAAUUUUUCUGUGGUUUUAGGGAAUAAAUAUCAAAAUUAUAUAUGAAUUUUGAUUCAAA